GCAAUUUUUCUAGAAAUGUGGAAUACAUAGGUAAACCCCAAUUUUGAUUGAACACUGGAAAUUGGCUUAGGUGACUAGAAGGCAUAAAUUGUCAAUUAUUGUUCAAGUACUUGAUUGCAUGAAAUUGUUGUUCAAGCAUCACAUUGCAAGGCACCUAUAGCCUUAGCCCAAUGGUAGAUGCAUCUCUCAACUUAUCAAAUUUUCAUUUUCAG
rnacentral:misc_RNA from 1 species